UAUGUUUUAUUUUCCAUCUAAAUCUGCAAAGAACACCAAGAAUAAGCAUAAUCAACAAAAAUAUUUUGCGGAGGUUUUUCAGCAAUAGGGGGAGAACCCCAGGAUGCAAACUGGAAGUGGGCUUCAGCCAAAGUCACCUAAGGCUUCGUUCUUAAUUUUUAUAGACAGCUAUCAUCAUUUGUGAACCAUAGGUGUACAUUUCAUUUGCUUUACAUCACAUGUGUGACACCACCACAGUUGGAUAUCUUGCGUCGGCCUGUUUUCUCUGACCUUCCUUUCAAAAGAGAGCGAGUCCCGUGCCAAACUUCUUCCCCGUCCAUGUUCUUGCUUUAAACUAACAAAUGACGCUUGCUGUGUCAGUUAAGAGCAUAUGAGGACACUUGUGCUACCUGUAGAACACCCGGUAGCAUGCUCCAUGUCUAUAGAUUUUUAAUUGAAAAUUGAAGUAGUUCAACAUGCCUAUUGACCUACUCUACAGUACCAUGGUGCAGUGUUCUCGUAUGUCUGCUCAAGUAAUCAGCCCAUGCAAAGGACUUGGAGCAGACAGCACAAUGGUAUGUGUGGUCACCUGUACAAAAGCUCAGGUGUUGAUUCCUGGCACUCUUCAGUGAGAAUUUCUGAGUGCAUGAAGGGCACUGAAAUGGAUUCUCGCCUGUGUGCGUGUGCAGGUGUGCCUUCAUGCUGGACUUGCGUGAGAAGCAAUGAGGGCAUGUAGGUAUUCAAAUGGCUUCUCGUCUGUGUAGGUUCACAGGUGUUUGUUCAUGCUGGACUUAUACACGAAACAUUGAGGGCAUGAAGGGCAUCAUCAUGGCUUCUCAUCUGUGUGGGUGCGUAGGCAAGUUACCAGGUGGGUCUUUCGUGAGAAGCUCAGCACUAAAAUGGCUUCUUGUCUAUUAGGAUUCAAGCAGGACUUGCGCGCGAAACUUAGGGCAUCAAAGGCACUGAAAUGGCUUCUGACCGGUGUGGGUGCACGAAGGUGCUGGCACCAUCAUGGCUUCUCACCUGUGUGGGUGGCGCAGGUGAGUUACCAGGCGGGUCUUUCGUGAGAAGCUGCACACUAAAAUGUGUUCUUGUCUGUGUGGGUUUCCAGGUGUCUAUUCAAGCAGGACUUGCGCGUGAAACUUUGAGGGCAUC